rnacentral:rRNA from 1 species
GACAGAGGGUGCGAACGUUGCUCGGAAUCACUGGGCGUAAAGCGCGUGUAGGCGGGUGAUCAAGUCGGGCGUGAAAUCCCUGGGCUCAACCCAGGAACUGCGUCUGAAACUGGUUGCCUUGAGUGUCGGAGAGGGAAGCGGAAUUCCUGGUGUAGAGGUGAAAUUCGUAGAUAUCAGGAGGAACACCGGUGGCGAAGGCGGCUUCCUGGACGAUUACUGACGCUGAGACGCGAAAGCGUGGGGAGCAAACAGG